GUGGCCUUGUCUUGUUGAAUUAUUGGGUGCAUUAGUUCAAGGCCUAGGCAUAGCUAUUUGGAGAUUUCCCAUCUUGAUUGUUUCAUUACCACUUGUCUUUAUUUUUUAUUUAGAUUAUUGACUUCUUACGAUUGGUUUUACCACCACUUGCUUCUGCUGCAGGUUCUAAUUAACUGGAGCCUUAAGUCCAAAUGGAUUAUCGUAGUGGGGUUUGAUCCACUCUUUCUCUGAAUAUUUGCUGAUGCUGGUGUUUAAAUGGCUUUGAAGAUUUCGUAG
rnacentral:lncRNA from 1 species